UAGGCCCCUAUACACUCUGCAGCAGUACAUUCAAUAUCGUAGUACGCAUUUAUAAAUAAGUGUGUUGUGCUGAUGAUGAUCAUGAUGGAGCCCGUAAAUGAAGAUCAACAAGUUGAUGAAAUCUUUACUCGAUUUUGGGAAGAUGGCAUGAGGGCAUAUGGAACUUCAGAGCGAGCGAGAGUUCAAAAAGCAAGUAAAGAGACCGGUGUGUCUGUGACCUAUGUGAAGAGAUAAUAGGCGCUGAAGACAUUUCGAUCUUGAGAGAACAGGUGCAGUCGAUAUUUAACGCCAAAUAUAAGAAGCAACAGGGCAAAAGAAAAUGACAUACAAACGCCUGUCGGAAAUUAACGUUGUGGGUCUGCCGGAAGAUAUGGUGUUAAAGCGGCCUUCUGCUUAUGGGAAAAAGAGCCUCAAGAGGAUCAUUCAAGCGAAAGAUAAGAUUCAGUUCUUUCAUCCUGAACAUGCAGAACGCCACUUUCCAGCAGUAUUUAUAGACCCACUAGCUCCUGUAGCCCCUGUGGCCCCUGUGGAUGUUGUCGUCAAACAAGAAGUGCCACAUCCUGGAAUGCCAAGAAUCACCACUUUCCAGCAGUAUUUAUAGACCCACUAGCUCCUGUAGCCCCUGUGGCCCCUGUGGAUGUUGUCGUCAAACAAGAAGUGCCACAUCCUGGAAUGCCAAGAAUCAAAAACUCUGCAAGGGAUCUUGAUCAGUCUCAAAAUACUGGGCAGGAUUUUGCCGUGGAAA